rnacentral:rRNA from 1 species
GUCUGGGAAACUGCCCGAUGGAGGGGGAUAACUACUGGAAACGGUAGCUAAUACCGCAUAACGUCGCAAGACCAAAGAGGGGGACCUUAGGGCCUCUUGCCAUCGGAUGUGCCCAGAUGGGAUUAGCUAGUAGGUGGGGUAAAGGCUCACCUAGGCGACGAUCCCUAGCUGGUCUGAGAGGAUGACCAGCCACACUGGAACUGAGACACGGUCCAGACUCCUACGGGAGGCAGCAGUGGGGAAUAUUGCACAAUGGGCGCAAGCCUGAUGCAGCCAUGCCGCGUGUAUGAAGAAGGCCUUCGGGUUGUAAAGUACUUUCAGCGGGGAGGAAGGGAGUAAAGUUAAUACCUUUGCUCAUUGACGUUACCCGCAGAAGAAGCACCGGCUAACUCCGUGCCAGCAGCCGCGGUAAUACGGAGGGUGCAAGCGUUAAUCGGAAUUACUGGGCGUAAAGCGCACGCAGGCGGUUUGUUAAGUCAGAUGUGAAAUCCCCGGGCUCAACCUGGGAACUGCAUCUGAUACUGGCAAGCUUGAGUCUCGUAGAGGGGGGUAGAAUUCCAGGUGUAGCG